UGGAAUGAACAUCAAGCUCAGAACCCGAAACUAGUGUAAGUCACCUUUGCUAAAUCUAUCCAUGACUCCAUGAUGAGCAAAUAAAUAUACUGGAGCUAGGCAAUAACACGGUCUCUGUCUUGCUGUCAUAGUUUUUGUGUUAAUAAGUAGGUUACAACUUCUACUGUAGUUCUCUGUAUUAUGGAGGCGUAAUUGAUUGUUUAUUCAAAGGUUGAAGUCUAAAUUGGAGAAAAGUAGAGGUAUUAGUAAGAAAGGGAUAGUGUGGGUGACUGACUGGUGUCUGUUGGGGGUUGGUAUUGUGUGUGAAGGUUAGUAUGCAUGAUCUAUUGGCACUAGGGGGAUGGGUGGAUAUACUACCUAGUACUGGUCCAGAAGACACGUAGUAACUGUACUGGUGCAUGUCCUGUAUUGAUGACAUCUAAAAGCAAAUAUAUGUUGUCUGUCUUUGAAGGCGCUAAUGCAUAUGUGUGCCUCCGUUCUCAAGUACAUCUGUGACGUACACAGCUGGACAGAGGAGGGGGAGGAAGUCCACUGUCAACACCCUGACCUGUACGAUGAUGAUCGUGGCAAGACGAAGUGGCUGUCCGUGGACUCAGUUGUGACCUCUCGGCAGUUGUGUUGGACAAAUGUUUCACAACAGAUCUCUCACACAUGGCCAGAUUCAAACAUACAGGCCAUCUGGAGCCAUUCCACAGUGCUCUACUGAAGUAUACCCCAAAGCACCAGUGUUUUGGGCUCCUAGGCAUGAAGGUGCGGACUCAUCUUGCUAUCCUGGAGCAUAAUGACAAUGUGGGACGCAAACAAGCCAGGACAGCCAAAGUAGACUUGCAGUACAAAGAAAUCUUCUGCAGAGGUUGAAGCAGUGGGUGGUGAAGAAAGUGUACAAGCCCAGAACCUAUCACUCAGGAAGAGGCAAGACGGUGGUCACAAGCAGCCAGAGUAACAGCUCUCCAAACACAACAUCCCUGCCGACAACGCCACAGCGCCAAAGCCUGCUAAUCCAACUGUCAUUGCCCAAUACAAGACAAGGUUCAACAGCUGAAGAACAUUCUGGAACUUGCCUGGAACAUUCAACCAACACAACAUCUAUAUUCAGUUAUACUGAUGUUGUAGUAUAACACAGAAUGGCCAGUAUGCUCACAACUGUAUUCUGGUAUAGAUAACUCUAACUCUUGUACAUAUGUAUAUAAAGGAGGAUGAUAAAAUGUUUUCUAUAAUAUUUUUUACAAGUGUACUGACAAGUUACUAAAUGUUUACAGUUGCAUCAGAAACCAGUACUGCCCUUCCAAGCAAAAGUGCAGUAACGGAACAUUUGACCAAAAAUGACGUACCGACAUUUUUUAUACAUUAAAUACAUGCUUUAUAGUGUGGACAAAU